ensembl:lncRNA novel transcript
CUCAAGCAACACAAUAUCACAUUUCCAGGGCCUCCUCUUCUCAUCAGCAGGCAGGGACAGUGCAUCGACCCAGAGGCCUGGGAGAGGCAGGAAUAAUGAUGCGCCAGAGAGAAUUCUGGCUUCGGGAGAAUCAGAGACUUAACAAAUAUAAUGCUGACAAUAUGACCAUUAUGACACAAGAAACUAUUUGUAUCCAUUGUCCUUUCCUCGCCUGAAAUAACCUAUUGCUUCCUACUCGGUGAUGACAUUUUUCAGGCACCAAGAGUUGCCCGUGGAACAAGAAGUACAUAAACUUCCUUGCUUUGUAGAAAACAGAUUCCGUUUUAUAAGUGGUUUAGUAUUUAGACACUACCUCCAAAGGUUGGG